GGGAAGGUGGCUCAGUGGUAGAGUGCUUGCCUUGCAUGCAUGAGGCCCUGGGUUCGAUUCCUUAGCAUCUCA
rnacentral:tRNA from 1 species